UGCCCGCUCCCCGUCCCGUCCCGCGCGCGCGGCUCCCGGAGCGGCCGGUACCGGCUCCCGGCGGGGGGAAUGGGCUGGGAACACCGCGGUGAGCCCGUGCAUCGUACUGGGAGCGCUGCGGGAGUGAUGCCGGGAGGGGAGUGAGAACGUGGGGAGAAGCCGGACAGUAAGACUGGGCGCAUUGGGAGGGAACUGGGAGCACUGGUGGAGAGCCAGGAGUAGCCCUGGAGUAGUGGGAGGGGAACUGGGAGCACUGAGGGUAGCCACGAAGCGAUAGUGGGAGAACUGGGAUGGCGUGAGAGCACGGACUGGGAGCCAGGGGGUGAUGCUGGGAGUGAACUGGGAACACUGAGGGGAGCCAGUGAAUGAUGCUGGGAACGCUCAUAAUUGUAGAAUGGAUGGCGUUGGAUGGGACUUUAAAGAUUAUGUAGUUCCAAAUCCCCCGGCAUGGGUAUGGGGACAAUGRGGGGAUGGGGGUGGAGCCAGGGAAUCCUACUGGGAGCACUGGGGCGAGCCAGGAAGUGACCCUGGGAGUACUGGGAGGGAACUGGGAGCAAUGAGAGAACACAGUGAAUGAUACCGGGAGGACAAGGAGAGCUGUGGGAGCGCUGCGGACAGACAGGGAGCGGCAGUGGGUAAUCCCYGCGCCCCGCCUUCACCUGCCCCGCUCCACGCCCGAGCAGGAGGGAGCGGCCGCCGCGCCCUUUCCGGGGCGGAGGUGCCCGCGGCGGGACGGCGCCGACCCCCGCCCGCCCCGGCGCCUCCCGCGGCCGCCCGCAGCGAGGGGACGCUGCCCCGGCGGAGCCCGGUGUGCCUGCUCCCGCCUGGGCUGCGGGACGGGCCGCGGUAAAUGCUGCCGGUACCGUGCGGCGGCUCCGAGCUGCGCUGCAGGCGAACCCCCCUCGGCUGCCGAGGAGCGGCAGCGCUGCGGGAGCCCGGCGGGGACAAAGUGGGACCGGCCCCCCUUGUAAAGGAACAGAUAAAGAAACCUCUGUGCAGUGACAAGGCUAAACAUCACAGCCCUACUGAACCCCCAGACAGUAGAAAUUACUUGGUGACAAGUAGAGGGAUAAGCGGAACUCGGCAAAAAAACGCGCACGAAAGAGAAGUAGCAUUGUCCCUGUGUGUGAUACCCACGUGACUCGGUGCACCUUAUGGAGCAUCUCUGAAGGGAAGGAAGUUCACAUGAGAAUUUGGAAAGGAGAAGUUGUAUAAAUGACUGCCUAAACAAGCAGGAGCAAAAACUGCCAUUUCCAGCAAAGUUCCAACAUAACACAGAAGGAAACCAGACACAGCUCUGCACAUUAAUUCAAUCUAGCAGAUUUUGGUACUGGAGAAAAUGCCAUCUUCACUUAGCACUAGGAACAUGGAGUUCCCUGUCUUCAGUUACAGAAGAGAUGUKUAUAUGGAAUAUGUAAAAUCUGUUAUUUCUUGGUUUGCUUGCCUGGCUGAUAUUAGAAGACCAAGUCUAUCAUAUUGACCUUCGUGGCAUUACUUCAGAGGAAGCUGAAUCCAAAAGGGGUAUGAACCUCCAGGGUAAAUAGAGGUUAAAUCCAUUUUCAAAGUAACUUCACAUUGUCAGCACUGAUUUUUCUAUUGACUUCAAAAGUCAAUAGAUAUUUAGAUCACUGCAGAUUGUGUUUAAAAUARGUUUCAUGUGAUAGAAGCUCUAUAAUAUGCAUAACAAGGAAUUGCCAGAGUCUUAGACCAAGGCAUCUUGAUUGUAUAUUCUAUAUUAAUUCCAAUUUUUUUAAUAGAGAAUAUUUUUAUUGUUGUUAUAGGAAUCUSUAAGCUGGACCAUUGCAAAGGCUGAAACCAACCAUGUUUCAGAURGAUAAGAUUAUUUUCCUAAUAUGUGGAAAAAUAUAGAAUGUGUUUUAUGUAAUAGAGUAGGAAAUGAUCGCAUCAAUUGUUAUGUAAUGUCAACAAGUUUUGUAUCUAAUAUCAAAUACAAUUUUUCAAUAAAGUCAGGUCAGUCCUGUACUAUCCAAUAUAUGCUGACAUUUGAAAGAAUGGUGGRGUUUUUAAGGACGAAUGAGCAUGGUUAUUUGGAAUAUUGUUUUUAGUAAGAUAAAAAGAUUGAAUUUCUCAUCCACAGGAAAUGUUUUCUUUUCUUGGAGGUAUUUUUUAAAACUUGUUGUACAAAAAGACAACACAAUGGCAAAGGCAACAAAAAUAAUACUUUUUUUUUACUUUGAUAAAAUUAUUUAAAUUUUUUUACUCAUCCACUACAGCUCAUAUGCAGCUGCCUAGCAUGAAUAAUAUUGUACAGACAUCUGUGACAGUUCAAAAAAUCUAGGAAUUAUGAAAGCUCUGCCAAAAUGGUGAAACUAAUGAAGCCUGCUAAUUCAUUUUAUAUAAUGAUGCAAUGACAACUGGCAAUUUGACUAUGCAUUAUAACUAASUACUCAUUUUUACUUCUAAUUCAUAUGAAUAUCCAUUUAAGCCUUUAAAAGAGACUAGUGUAUAGAACAGAGUUUCAAAUUUGCUUUAACUGUCUUUCAUGGAAAUUUUUUUACCUUGAAUUUAAAAUUAAGCURAAUGGCAGUGUGUUGCCUGUUGUUUAGCCUUUUUCCUAAUAAAAUUUUGUUUACCUGUAUAUCAUAACAAUAUAUGUUGUUAAUACAUCAUUGAGCUGCAUAAAAUCAUACAGAUUUAUGAUCUAGAUAUUUGUAUGUCACAUACAUAAAGUUGGUUUAAAGCACUUCAAGUUAUUCUGUUAUUUAAGGCAUUCUACUUACACUGUGACUUAGUGCACCUGCAUGACAUCCCAGGGCAACUUUUWUUUCUUUGCACUGAGAAAUUGCUCCAGUCCUGAUCAUCUUAAUCAGUAACACRCUCCAAGAAAAUGUCUGUAAAUCCUUGUAACUCUUAGAGGUAGGAGUAGAAGAGCAAGAAGACAUACAGCUCUUAUAAAUUCUCCCUGGGUUUCCACAGACUCCUGUGGAAGCUGAGAGCUGGAACCUGCAGCACUGCUAUUCCUUCAGAAAAAGAUCUCAAGACUAACAUAGGACACAGUACUUUACAAAAGGGAAUUAAAAUGUUCCUCGCUUUUCUGCCUGCUUCUCCAGUUGGAAGCCAGAGAUGUUUUUCAGCCAGAAAGUCUUUGCCUGCAGGGGAACAUAAGAUUAUGAAUUUGUUUUGUCAUGAAAAGCCUAUGCAAAUACAUGUAUUUGUUAAAAUUUCUGAAAACAAAUGGCAAUGGAUUAUUGUAGCCAUCCAUUUAAAUUUGUUUUGUCAUGAUGACAUAAUGAACAACAGAACACUGCAGCAGAAACAUGCACACAGCUGAUUGUCCAGAUACACAGCAGGCUUGCUGAAUGUAAAGGAAGUUUGCUGUCAAGAGUCCUCAGCUCUACUAACAGUUCAGGAUGUGAGCAGWGCUUAGCCUGUGGGAAGGGGAGAGCUGCUGCUGAAGCUCCCUGGGACAACUCCAGUGCUGUCUACAGACAGAACAGCCACACAYCUCUGAGCACUCCAGUGGUGUGCAUGGAGCUGUUUCUCACUGCAUGCAAUGCACACUGCACACUUCUCUUAGCACAGAGCUGAACCUGACAUUAUUGCCACAGAGGCUUCUUUGGCCAGAAUUCCUGUCAAGAAUUUUAAGGAAGGGUCUGCUUGCAAACAGCUGACACAAGAAUAUAACAAAUGAUUACUUGCAGGAGACAGUGCAGUAAUCCACUGUCAAACUCUAAUGGGAAAAGAAGACAGUAUUUGUGGAGAGGAACUAAGUACUACAUCAUGAUGGUUAUUUAUUGUCAAAUGUUAAAAAAAUUAWAUACAAAUACUUUGGCUGGUGGUGUUGCCUUUCACCGUGUUCUUGUGGGUUUUUUUUCAGUUAGUGUUAAGCUAUGUCAUUCAUUUAAGUAUAGGAUAUAUCAUUAGCAUGUUGUUUAAAAUUAUUAUAAAUUCAAUUUUGUACGUCACUGUGGUAAUGUCUGGUUCUGUCUAUUGUAACAGGCAGGUUUUUGUAAAAACUCCAGAUAUUAAAAUAAUUGCUUCUGGAUACAUAAUCUUCAAAAAGUGCUUGGCAAGCCAGGCAUCACAAAGCUAGAUAAUAAGGACAUACUGGGGCCUCUCCAUKGUAUGAUCUGGGCUGUAUCUGAACCGUGUGCCCAUUCUGUGGAGCUCUGAGUUCAGAUACCACUGAAUGUUGGCAGAUUAUAGUAAGAUAACUAAAUAGUUUCUCCUCCUAUCUAUCUGUUCUACUUCUUUCUUGAGGGUUUGCAUUUCCAUGAUAAGGGGAAGUAAAGAGCCUAAAAGUGCCUUUAAAAUUUCAUGGGCUGCAGGGGGAGAAGGUGUCUGAGGUGUCUGUAUCCCUUUGUGAAAUGUGUGUCACUAGACAAAAGGGAGGAAGCAACUGAAAACCAAACGAGGUCUGGAGUUGUGCACUACCUUUGUUUCCCCUCUGGUACAGGCCAGAUAGAUACURUUUCAUAUAUUAUUAAAACUCAUACUGAACUUAUGGAUAGUGAUAUUGGGGAAGAACAUAUUUUAUGGGGAAAAGUGCUGUAGAAUACCAGUGAGGAGAAUGUGACUGUGAACAACAGUGGGAGUGUUUUUAUUUCAUCUAAGUUUGAAAUAGGAGAACAGGAUCAACUGCUGAAAGCAACUCUAGCAAUGCAAUAUCCAGUAUCGGGAGAACAAAAUCCUUUUGUUUCCUGACCUCGGCCUCAUCAAACAAACCAAGAGAAAAGUGUUAUUGAGCUGGMGGAAUCUGUUUACUGGAACAAAUACUGAAGCACUGGGAUGGCAUCUUAGAGCACAAAAGACAUUGGAACAGAACAGUCCUACUCUGGAAAAGAGAAGCAGCAAUCAUGCACAGAUGACAACAAAGUCAACAGAAAAUGAACUUGAUGAACUACAAAGUAAACUGUCAAUAAUUCUGUUUCCUUUAUUUARCUGACAACUGUACCUAAAAUUGAUCUCAGUUAUACUGAUGUAAGAUGUUUUAAGGACUCUUUAAGUGACAUCUACAUUUAAUUCUGUUUGAAAUGUUCAAGUUAAAUCUGCUUGUGCUUUCAAAAAUGCAUGAUCUCGUGGAGUGAAUGAUGGAGAAAAAUACCUAUUCAAAAUUAAUGUCAGUUUUCUGUACUGUAGAGUUAAUGAAGCUAACUGUUUAGUGCAUUCCUAUAAUGAGAUCCUGAUCAUCUUUCUGUAGUAUCAAAGACAUUGUUUGGUAUUUGUGCUUUGUUUUCCCUACCAAACAGGCUUCAGUAUAUGAAUAUUUUUUUACUCUGUAUCUUGGUAUGCAUUCUCUGGUAUAUCUGUAUAUAGUCAGUCACCUAAGCUAUAUGUAUUUUGCUUCUUAACUGGAUGAUAUACUUUCAAAAUAGGAAAACUAUAGUAUAUAAAAAAUAAUGCAUUUUUAUGUURGAUUACUUAUGUUCUUUAUUUGUAUUAAGCUUUAUGAUUUUUCUGCAAUUUAUGGCCACUUUUGAAUACUUAUAGGUUAGUGUAAGUAGUAGCAGACAACUGAAUUCUCUAUACUUUAUUUAAAGUAAUUUAUAUUA